GAAUGCUUCGUAGUAUAAGAAGUUUUUAGUAUACUUACACUUACAUAAUCACUUACAAGUUCUUCCUUGUUCACCUGGAAUUCAAAUUAACUAACCUGGGGAGAGAAGGAGGCAGGGAGAAGUCGCAGCUUAACAGGUGAUCUUAACCUGCCUCGUCAUCCAUAUUGGCGUCAUGAUCUAACCAAAAUCAGCUCACGGCCGAGCGUGAGUGUCUCGCUUCUGUAAUCCCAGCACUUUGGGAAGCCAAGUCAGGAGCAUCAGCGGAUCACUUGAGGCCAGGAGUUGGAGACCAGCCUAGUCAACAGAGCGAGACCCUGUCUCUAAAAUCUAAUAAAAAUAAUAAAUAAAUAAAUAAAAACAGUUCAUGAGAAAGACUUUUUCCUUCUUCAGGGAGAGUCAGCCAGAUUUGUCUUUUCUGAAACCCCACUGGAAGAAUUAGAUUAGUUCCCUUCCCUGAAAACCUUAAAAAAAUCCCCUUCAUAGAUGUAAGCACUCUCAUCUUCCAUUAAUGGUUUAUCUGU
rnacentral:lncRNA from 10 species